AUGAUAUUAAGUCCUUUACAUUACCAUGCACAGGCUAUACAGGAUGUACAGGUGUUUGGGGCAACUGGACACAAUUUGGUGAAUGUUCUACUUCUUGUGACGAAGGACAAAUGUUAUUUACCAGAAAAUGUAACCAUCCAUUACCGGGCCAUUUGGCUACUGAUUGUGAUGGUGAAAACAUAGAAAACAGAACAUGCAACCUACGUGGAUGUCCAGGAUCAUGGAGCUGUUGGGAGGAUGAUGGUCACUGUUCAACUUCUUGUGGCAAUGGGACGCAGAUAAGGCAACGAAGGUGCAAUAAUCCAGCUCCAAGUAAUAAUGGAGUCGAAUGUGCUGGGGAAAAUGUGACUUCUGUUCAGUGCAUCAUUAAAGAGUGUCCAGUUUAUAAAUGGGGACAUUUGAAAGAGCUAAACUUAACAAAGA